rnacentral:lncRNA from 10 species
CUCACCCUGCCCCUGCCUGGUUUCCUAGGUCAAAUUAGGAAUUAAUCUUACAGCAAAGACCCCCUAUUUCAAAAACAGACAAACAAAAAACCUCUGUCUCAGUUUCUGCCUGCCCAAAAGAGAUGUUUCUACUAGUCAGAACAAACAUCAGAGAUGGACUUUGAUCAGAAACUCAGGAAGUGGGAGAGGAUGCAGGUCAGGUUAAGAGAAAUAGUGCAGUUCCAACCCUGGGCAGCCCUAAGUAAGAGUCAUCAGAAGCUUCCAGGCAAUUGUCACUGAAAAAUAAGUGCUAUAGCACUACCUCAGCUGCUGCAACCACAGACCUCAUUCAGAAAUCUUUAUUGUAUUAACCCUUGUGUGUCCGGAAUUGGUGGGUUCUUGGUCUCACUGACUUCAAGAAUGAAGCCUGGGACACUCACGGAACUGCACUACAUGACCAGAUCCCAGAGGGUGGUUGUCUGGAGGAGAGGAAUGUUGCCUGGUGUAAUCAUGGACCUUCUAUCUGCUUAUGGUGUUUUCAACAUCAGCAGAGCUGAAGUCAUAUCAAGGGGAUAGAGAAAUUCUACUUUUCUCACACAACUUUAGCAACUGGAAGCUUAUCUCUGGCUGAUUCUGGCAAAGGAAGAAGAAAGGAUGCAAUGUGAUGAAUUGUUUCUAAAGGUGUAAGCCUGAAGCUGGAAUAAUUGUAAAGGUAUCCCCAUUUAUAAUAAUGUUGCUUCAGCACUUCCCUGCAGAUGCUUCCUUCUUUUAGCUCCUUACAGAAAUAGAGAGAUUUUUGUUCUUUUUAAAAAGUUUCCAUUUCCAUUUGCUAAAUGAGCCAAUUUAACUUAUAAAAAGAGAUUUAAAAAAGAAUAAAUAUAAAAUAUUGAUAUAUAUUUUGGAAACUCUGGAUUUAUGUUCUGUUCACUCUCUUAACAAUUCAACUUGGUCAUUCUGAUCAGAACAUGUUCUUUUAUUU